CCUACGGGAGGCAGCAGUGGGGGAUAUUGCACAAUGGGGGGAACCCUGAUGCAGCGACGCCGCGUGGGUGAAGAAGCGCCUCGGCGCGUAAAGCACUGUCAGCAGGGAAGAAAAUGACGGUACCUGAAGAAGAAGCACCGGCUAACUACGUGCCAGCAGCCGAGGUAAUACGUAGGGGGCAAGCGUUAUCCGGAUGUACUGGGUGUAAAGCGCUCGUAGGCGGGAUGUCAAGUCAAGGGUGAAAUCCCCGCGCUCAACGUGGGAACUGCCUUUGAAACUGGCAAACUUGAGUGUGUGAGAGGAAAGUGGAAUUCCUGGUGUAGCGGUGAAAUGCGUAGAUAUCUGGAGGAACAUCAGUGGCGAAGGCGACUAUCGGGCACAUAACUGACGCUGAGGAGCGAAAGCGUGGGUAGCAAACAGGAUUAGAUACCCCGGUAGUC
rnacentral:rRNA from 1 species